rnacentral:rRNA from 1 species
GAUGAACGCUGGCGGCGUGCUUAACACAUGCCAGUCGAACGGAAAGGCCCAAGCUUGCUUGGGUACUCGAGUGGCGAACGGGUGAGUAACACGUGGGUGAUCUGCCCUGCACUUCGGGAUAAGCCUGGGAAACUGGGUCUAAUACUGGAUAGGACCACUUCUUGGAUGGUGUGGUGGAAAGUUUUUUCGGUGUGGGAUGAGCUCGCGGCCUAUCAGCUUGUUGGUGGGGUAAUGGCCUACCAAGGCGUCGACGGGUAGCCGGCCUGGGAGGGUGUACGGCCACAUUGGGACUGAGAUACGGCCCAGACUCCUACGGGAGGCAGCAGUGGGGAAUAUUGCACAAUGGGCGCAAGCCGGAUGCAGCGACGCCGCGGGGGGGAGGACGGCCUUCGGGUUGUAAACUCCUUUCGCUAGGGACGAAGCGUUUUUGUGACGGUACCUGGAGAAGAAGCACCGGCUAACUACGU